rnacentral:lncRNA from 1 species
CGGAGCUAUGUUGGGGCGGCAGCGGGGGUAAACAAACAGCCCGGGGCGCCGGGGGCCUCGGCCGGGAGAGCUGUGCUGAGGGGUGAACACAACCAUCGGGGCUCUUUUACUCACCCCGUACACAACAGGCUAAAACCUGUGCAGCUCCCGUGUCCGGGCAAGCCUUGCUUCAGGCGUUUCUGGCUACUGAUAAACCAAGAGUGAGGGGAGGGAAAUAUAUAAGGAGCUUCUGAUACGCUGAAAUCCUCAUUUGGAAUCAAAUGUGUAACGACAAGGGAGAGAGCUGAGCUUUGUCUCCAUUUUACAUAAUUCUGCAGAAUUUAUCUGUUGGCUUCUAGGUUGCUGCAGUAAAGGCAAGAGAUUCUCCCAAGGGGUAUUUGAAAUGAAGAAGACAUCUGGAAGUUGAAGAUUCAUCCGCCAGUUUUCCAGUACGGACAGAGGCUGCAGCUCUGUGACCCUCUUUGCCAGAUUUGUGCACUGCAGGAUCAGUUGACUUUACACAAAAAGCCAGCAGGCUUACAGCUGCACCAGGCUGCCUCUUUUGAUGCAUUUAGUGCCUCCCACCCCUCCCCAUCUGUUGCUGGGAGGGUAUCUCCUGGAAGCUCAGAAGCCUUUUCUUCAGGCUAUGCUGAAUUCAUGUUACAAGGCUGAUCAUCCUCUGCUGCUCUGGGCUGUGCUGCUGAGAGGAAGGAAAAUGAACUCCUUGUCUGGUGAAAAAUGCUCUCCAUGAUCCUAGCUCUGCUGUCUGACUGAAAUAUGGACAUAAAGCACUAGCUCUGGCAGGCAGCUUCAUGGAAGAGAAGAGUGACUCGGGCAAAAUACUGAUGGGCUCUGCACUCAAAGUGUAACACUGUGACCAAACUGUAUACAACAAAGGAACUUGAAGUGCUCCUGACAGCUGCACUGGGGCUUCAAUUCUAUUUUGGGUUGGGUUGUUGUUUGUUGGGUUUUUUUUUCCAAAGCUAGAACAAAAGAGGAAGAAAAACAAAAUAAAGAAGAGCAUUAAAAAAUCA